UAGUAGCACAGAAAGGGUUAACAGCUGUCUGAGGGCUUAUCCUGUUCUAUAUUUAGACUACACCUCACGUCCGCCACUCAGUGUCUUGACGAGGUUAUAUCAUUCACAUCAGAUUUAUUUCGGGACAAGUCCACCGAGGCAGCAACAACUAGCAGACGUCAGAGCAGGAUUAAUGAAGUCCAAAUUUUACCAGGAAACAGGUUAAGGCAGAAUGUCUUCACACAAUUCAGCUACGGCAAAGGUCGAGAUGUCACAUUCAAACCUGUGUCACGUGUCAUGAGCGAGAGCCCAUUGUCCUCUUCCUUCCCUGUGGUCACGUGAUCACGUGCUCGUCGUGCUCGGAGACCAUGGUCAGCUGUGCCUCGUGUGGGGGGAAGAUUCUGGGCUCGUGUGUCCUCGCUCCACCAAGUCCCUCGUGCGGGACAAGCAGGGGUCUGAAUGCAGCGUGACGACAUCGUCACGUGGGAGGCUUCAUGUCCAGCCAGACGUCCUGCCGCCUGUACCUUGAGUAGAAGAGUAUUGACAAUGCAAGCAAUGCAAGCAAUUACCAUGCAAGCCUUAUAGUCUGCAGCUUUGACUACAGACAAUGGGACACGAGAAUUGAUGACUGAACCAAAAAAGGAUUUGCACCACGUCCUUCAGGUCCUUAAAAGUUGUAAUGAUGAUCUGCUUGAAGACAUCUGACGGUCCACAAAAAGUCAAAAGAUCAACUUAGUAUCUCAAGAUUUCACGAGCCGUGUCUUUUAAUUCUCAAAGGAGACCGCCUUGCUUACAAUAGUUGUAAACUCUCAUACCUCCAGGGAUACGAACACCACUGUCCACGCUGCUAGACACACCCAUCCAUGCUACUGGAGCUGACAGGCCGUUAGUACACGCGUCUUUGUACUAUGAUACAUGCCCCCGCCUGAGUCAUGUGAUUAGCUGAGCAAUGGAUGGGCCGACACCUGAUAAAGGCUUGAUUGUCCCGAGGGCAGAAUCUUGUGUUUGCUUUGAGAGUUGUGUGACUGCCGCUAGCAGACGACACAGCGGGAUCCAAGAUGGCGCAGCCCCGUAGGGCUUCAGGUGUUGGUCUCCGCGACUCUCGUUGGCGAGAGAUAACAAAGGCGCUCUAUGAGGAGGACGUCGAUGACUUUGUGAGAGGGUUCUACCCCGACUCACCCACACGCCGACAACUGCUGGCUGAGAGCCACAGACACAAGGCUAUUUUUGUCAGCGGAAAUCUUGGCAAAACCCUAACAGAUAGUUUCCGUGAUCUCUCUAAUCCUCUAAUGACUCUGAGUGGAAGAAAACUCAGCUUUCCGCAGGACUGGAGAGCCCCAUCCUCUAGAAAUGGCGCUAGCAGGGUUCUUCUACACCAGCACAGGCCAGAUAGAGUGCUGCAACUGUGGACUGCAGGUUAGGGAUGCCAAUGACCCCAGGAACUUGUCCAUGGAGAGUUCACAUGAAGCUUGCACCUCGCUGCGUGCACCUGGCACGGUACAAUGCUCAGGGACAGUCCUACAAGGGAAGUAAACUAAUCAGAGUGAAUUCUACGUCAGCCGUACUUGAGCUUCUGAGAAAAUAAUUUCAGGUCUGGGAUAGCUACACGUUUAAUAGGAAUAUGAUUAAUUACUGUAGAAAUAUGUAACUGAGGCGACAGCUUCAGCUUGUUUGUCAAGCUUGCAGGCAGGUCUGAGCUUUUUUUUUAAGAAUGAACAGAAGGAGGGAGUGUAUACAAGUGCAGAAGGCAUCACACCCAUUGCCUUACAUCCAUGAAUUUAGUUCAUCACCUUCUCAUCAUGCAGCAGUUAGUCCACCUCACACCAUCCUUCAGUAGGAGACUCGUGGUCAGAACAGCUGGCAAAAUAUUUUGAGAUUUGGAAGACAAAGUUGAGCAGUCACUAAACUAUUUAUUAGAAUAUAUAAAAGGCAGCACAGAUUAUAUGGAUGCGCUGCUCGCUCCCUUGUCUAUAUUUAUAUAUCUUUGUGGCACUAGGUCCUAUUGUGUUUUCUGUUGUUGAUUUGGCAUCACAGUUUUUAUAAAUGUUUUAAUUAUG